rnacentral:lncRNA from 1 species
UCCAAACAAACGUCAGGCAGGCGCAUGCGUGCAGGACGCGAAUGGUGGCGCCAGCCAAAGCCCCGAUUCCUGACCAGCAGCAAGUCAGUGUGAGCGCGCGCGCUGCGUUCCCAUGUUGCUAGAGCGUUGACUCCGCCCGCCUCCGCUCGAGCUCGCUUCGUUGGAUGAUGCUCCUGCCGCUCGCAAGUUGCAAGGCAUCGAUCGCCCGGCCGGUGAAUAAUAAUGCGGCGCUGGACGCAUGGGAGAUGAUUAUUGAUCCCUCAGUCCCAAAACUACUAUUUGUUUUGAG